rnacentral:rRNA from 1 species
UACGGAGGGGGCUAGCGUUGUUCGGAAUUACUGGGCGUAAAGCGCACGUAGGCGGCCAUUCAAGUCAGAGGUGAAAGCCCAGGGCUCAACCCUGGAAUUGCCUUUGAAACUAGAUGGCUUGAACACGGGAGAGGUGAGUGGAAUUCCGAGUGUAGAGGUGAAAUUCGUAGAUAUUCGGAAGAACACCAGUGGCGAAGGCGGCGAUCUGGGUCGAUACUGACGCUGAGGUGCGAAAGCGUGGGGAGCAAACAGG